rnacentral:rRNA from 1 species
GAUGAACGCUGGCGGCGUGCCUAAUACAUGCAAGUCGAACGAAACUUCUUUUUCACCGCGUGCUUGCACUCACCGAUAAAGAGGUGAGUGGCGAACGGGUGAGUAACACGUGGGCAACCUGCCCAAAAGAGGGGGAUAACACUUGGAAACAGGUGCUAAUACCGCAUAACCAUAGUUACCGCAUGGUAACUAUGUAAACGGUGGCUAUACUACCGCCUUUGGAUGGGUCCGCGGCGCAUUAGCUAGUUGGUAGGGUAAAGGCUGACCAAGGCAACGAUGCGUAGCCGACCUGAGCGGGUGAUCGGCCACAGUGGAACUGAGACACAGUCCAGACUCCUACGGGAGGCAGCAGUAGGGAGUCUUCCGCAAUGGGCGAAAGCCUGACGGAGCAACGCCGCGUGAGUGAGGAAGGUCUUCGGAUCCUAAACCUCUGUUAUUAGGGAAGCCCAAAUGUGUAAGUAACUAUGCACGUCUUGACGCUACCUAAUCAGAAAGCCACGGCUCACUACGUG